UACGUAGGGUCCGAGCGUUGUCCGGAAUUAUUGGGCGUAAAGGGCGCGUAGGCGGCGGGGUCAGUCGGGUGUGAAAUCUUGGGGCUUAACCCCGAAACGGCACUCGAAACUGCCCGGCUGGAGGGCCGGAGAGGAGAUCGGAAUUCACGGUGUAGCAGUGAAAUGCGUAGAGAUCGUGAGGAAGACCCGUGGCGAAGGCGGAUCUCUGGACGGCUAAAACUGACGCUGAGGCGCGAAGGCCAGGGGAGCAAACGGG
rnacentral:rRNA from 1 species